rnacentral:rRNA from 1 species
AACGGCCAUACCAUGAGUGAAUAUACCGGUUCUCGUUAGAUCACCGAAGUCAAGCAUCAUUGGGCGCGGUCAGUACUUGGGUGGGUGACCACCUGGGAACACCCGCGCC